rnacentral:rRNA from 1 species
UUGCAGUUAAAAAGCUCGUAGUUGGAUUUCUGGGUCAAGCUCCUGGUCCGCCGCAAUGCGGUGCUGACUGUGUGCAGCGUUGGCUCAUCCUUGUGGGAAACUCAGUUGGGCGUUCGUUCGUCGGCUGUCGGAACCGCAUCUUUUACUGUGAAAAAAUUAGAGUGUUCAAAGCAGGCUUACGCUGUGAAUACAUUAGCAUGGAAUAAUAAGAUAGGACUUUGGUUCUAUUUUGUUGGUUGGAGGCCAAGGUAAUGAUUAAUAGGGAUAGUUGGGGGUAUUCAUAUUUAAUUGUCAGAGGUGAAAUUCUUGGAUUUAUGAAAGAUGAACUUAUGCGAAAGCAUUCACCAAGGAUGUUUUCAUUAAUCAAGAACGAAAGUUAGGGGAUCGAAGAGGAUUAGAUACCCUCGUAGUCUUAACCAUAAACUAUGCCGACUCGGGAUUGGAGGGCGUAUAUCAAUGAGCCUUUCAGCACCGUAUGAGAAAUCAAAGUCUUUGGGUUCCGGGGGGAGUAUGGUCGCAAGGCUGAAACUUAAAGGAAUUGACGGAAGGGCACCACCAGGAGUGGAGCCUGCGGCUUA